rnacentral:rRNA from 1 species
UACGAAGGGGGCUAGCGUUGCUCGGAAUUACUGGGCGUAAAGCGUGCGCAGGCGGUUUUGUAAGCCAGAUGUGAAAGCCCCGGGCUUAACCUGGGAAUGGCAUUUGGGACUGCAAGGCUUGAGUGCGGCAGAGGAGACUGGAAUUCCUGGUGUAGCAGUGAAAUGCGUAGAUAUCAGGAGGAAUACCGAUGGCGAAGGCAGGUCUCUGGGCUGACACUGACGCUCAUGCACGAAAGGCGUGGGG